UGAGUUCUUGGGAGCAUUUCUGUCAGUCAAAGCUCUCCCCUUUAAGCGCACAAGCUGUGCUUCGUGUGACCAAUAUUGCUCGGGAGGGUCUUGUCUUGGGUUCAUAACAGAAGUUAUAUAUAAGAGCAUAUUUGAGAUUUAGUGAGUACGGUCUUUAUUUUACUCGCAUAUUUGAUCUUCAGUGAGCCAGAGUUUAUAAUUUGCUUUUCUUUUUGUUCAUCAUUGUCCUGUAAAUAGCAAGAAACAUUGAGAUGUCUGAAUUGCGGUUAAACAUGUAGU
rnacentral:misc_RNA from 1 species